CCUACGGGAGGCAGCAGUGAGGAAUAUUGGACAAUGGACGCAAGCCUGAACCAGCGACGCCGCGUGCAGGAAGACGGCUCUAGGAGUUGUAAACUGCUUUUGUACGGGGGUAAACGAAGAUACGUGUAUCUGUCUGAAAGUAUCGUACGAAUAAGGAUCGGCUAACUCCGUGCCAGCAGCCGCGGUAAUACGGAGGAUUUAAGCGUUAUCCGGAUUUAUUGGGUUUAAAGGGUGCGUAGGCGGUAGGAGAAGUUAGAGGUGAAAUCCCGGGGCUCAACUUCGGAAUUGCUUCUGAUACUGUUCGGCUAGAGAGUAGUUGCGGUAGGCGGAAUGUAUGGUGUAGCGGUGAAAUGCUUAGAGAUCAUGCAGAACACCGAUUGCGAAGGCAGCUUACCAGGCUACUUCUGACGUUGAGGCACGAAAGCGUGGGGAGCAAACAGGAUUAGAUACCCUUGUAGUC
rnacentral:rRNA from 1 species